rnacentral:misc_RNA from 1 species
AACCAUUCUCACCUGCGGCUAGACCUGCGGAGGGAUCAUUACAGAGUUCAUGCCCUCACGGGUAGAUCUCCCACCCUUGUGUAUCUCUUGUUUUUGUUGCUUUGGCAGGCCGUUAGCUCGCCUAACCACCGGCUCUCGGGCUGGUGCGCGCCUGCCGGAGGACCUCCCAAACUCUGUUUGUUAGUGUCGUCUGAGUACUAUAACAAUCGUUAAAACUUUUAACAACGGAUCUCAGAUCGG